AGGACACAUCUAAUUAUGAGGGGGAACAUAUAUUUGAAGGGUAGCAGAGUAGGCUCUACAGCGCCGAAAUGACCUUCUCACCCUUGUGUUCUCACUAUGUUGCUUUGGUGGGUCGACCUGGUUCCGACCCAGGCGGCCGGCGCACCCAGCCUUAACUGGCCAGGACGCCCGGCUAAGUGCCCGCCAGUAUACAAAACUCAAGAAUUCAUUUUGUGAAGAUCCCUGAUAUAUCAUUUAAUUGAUUAAAACUUUCAACAACGGAUCUCUUGGUUCUGGCAUCCAUGAAGAACAGCAGCGAAAUGCCAUAAGUAAUGUGAAUGGCAGAAUUCACAUGAAUCCUCCAAUCUUUGAACGCACAUUGCGCCCUCCGCUAUACCCGGAAGCAUGCCUUUUCCAACGUUCUUUUAACCCUUAAGCUCCGCUGGGUAUUUGGCAAACUCCGGUGCCCGAAGUGGCUUGAAGAACCUCGGGAAGGGGUUCUAAGCCGCGAAGGUGAUAAUAAAAUAAGCUCUCUGGGGAGCUUCUUGGGAAGGGCGCCGGACCAAGCAGACGGCUGUUAUAUUUGGCACAGUGGGACCUCGGAGCAGGGAGGGUACCCGUGUAAUUGAG
rnacentral:rRNA from 1 species